rnacentral:lncRNA from 1 species
AGAAAAAAAAAAGAAAUAAAGGAAAAAAAUACGAAAAAUAAUAAAGAAAGAAAGAAAGAAGAAAAAAAAGUACGUUCCACUCGCGAAUAAGGGGAACCAAUAAAAAAUCAUAUAUAAGAAAAAUAGAAGACUAAUUCAAACGGAAUAAGGAUAAUAAGGAAGAGAGGAAAGUGUUUAUUUAAUCGUUGCGUUAUUCGCUAAUAAAUAUUCGUUUGAAGAAAGAAAAGUUGUUGGCGCCUAGUCUAAUCGCCUGGCACGAUGGCUUGCGAAUUUACUAAGCCCAAACGAUGGCCGAUCCACGCGGCUUCAAGCCAAUAAAUCAGUUGUGGCAGAGCGUGGCAGUACCAACGGAUCCGGAUUCGGAAUACUUGUACGAGGAGAUUUCGGGCCUUUCGGGGUCCCAGGAUUCGAGGCAGGGCCGGUGGGGGCCGCUGUCGUUGGGGAGGAGGAAGAGGAAGAGGAAGAGGAGGAAGAGGAGGAGGAAGAAGAA